rnacentral:rRNA from 1 species
UGGGGGAUAUUGCACAAUGGGCGCAAGCCUGAUGCAGCGACGCCGCGUGGGGGAUGAAGGCCUUCGGGUUGUAAACUUCUUUUGCUCUGAACAAGGCGCACUUUGGGGUGUGUUGAGUGUAGGGGUUGAUUAGCGCCGGCUAACUACGUGCCAGCAGCCGCGGUAAUACGUAGGGCGCGAGCGUUGUCCGGAAUUAUUGGGCGUAAAGGGCUUGUAGGUGGCUGGUUGCGUCUGUCGUGAAAGCUCAUGGCUUAACUGUGGGUUUGCGGUGGGUACGGGCUGGCUUGAGUGCAGUAGGUGAGGCUGGAAUUCCUGGUGUGGCGGUGGAAUGCGCAGAUAUCAGGAGGAAUACCGGUGGCGAAGGCGGGUCUCUGGGCUGUUACUGACACUGAGGAGCGAAAGCAUGGGGAGCGAACAGG